UACACUGGGUUUGAUGAUAGUCAUCGGUCAUGAUGAAUGAUUUAUCAGGUUCUGUUUUAAGGGAGAAAUAAGUUUCAGGAAGAAACCGGGACACCUCCAGGAAGGAGACUGAGAGCCGCACGGGAAGUGGCGGUGGGGCUGGAGCCUGAUGGGAUUGAGUCAUGGACGAUACAGGAUGGAUAAGUCAGGAAGAAAGUCGGACGCCAGCAGGGAUUGUCGGUCAGGAAGACCGCCAGGGAAAAGUUUUCAGGGAUGAGCAGGGACGCAACGGUGUAGCGGGAUAGCUAUAAAACGAACCGGGGGUACUGAGCAAUCAGUACCCCCAUUUUUUUAU
rnacentral:other from 1 species